AGAUCUUUAAAUAUGUUUACAAGACUAACAUCGAUACUCGACAUUUUAUGCCUAUUAUCUUGAACUUCAAUUUGUGAUUAUAGAAACUAUAAAAAAAAAAAUUGAACAGUAAGUUCUACAAUAACAUUAUCAUCACUGACAUUGCCAGUUAAAUAAAGGCAACAGUAGUAUAUUGUUGUUCAAAACUCAUAAAUCGAUUGAGAAAAAAAAACAAAUCCGGGCUACGAACUCAAACUGAGGGAAACGCAUCAAAUAUAAGAGGAAAACAACGACACAACAGAAACACAACAUUGAAAUGUAA
rnacentral:lncRNA from 1 species